rnacentral:rRNA from 1 species
UUUUGGACCAAUGGGCGCAAGCCUGAUCCAGCCCUUUCCGCGUGAGUGAAGAAGCCUUUCGGGUUGUAAAGCUCUUUCGCAACCGAAGAAAACUUACUUUCUAAAUAAAGAGUGAGGGUGACGGUACCUUGAUAAGAAGCACCGGCUAACUACGUGCCAGCAGCCGGGUAAUACGUAGGGUGCGAGCGUUAAUCGGAAUUACUGGGCGUAAAGCGUGCGCAGGCGGCUUUGUAAGUCAGAUGUGAAAUCCCCGAGCUCAACUUGGGAACUGCGUUUGAAACUACAAGGCUAGAAUAUGUCAGAGGGGGGUAGAAUUCCACGUGUAGCAGUGAAAUGCGUAGAGAUGUGGAGGAAUACCAAUGGCGAAGGCAGCCCCCUGGGAUAAUAUUGACGCUCAUGCACGAAA